UAUCUAUUGUCGUACUGAGAGCUGUGAGUUGUUAGGAGAUCUUUGUUGUUGCUGCGGUGCUGUCUGUUGAAGACAGCAACCGUUGUUCCCCUAGCUGCAGAGCCAGUUAGCUGCACAGACACAUCAAUAUGAAGUGCUUAAACAUGGCCAAAGCCUUUUGAAUGAGCUCUCACCUUUUGUUAGCUGACUAGCUUCUCUGCGAUUCAUUAGCUAGCUGUUAAUUCAUAUCGUUUGAUAACAUGAGAUGCUUUCAGUUAGAAAGCUAAAACACUCUAUAACAGCUCUAUAACGUUACUCAAAUAAUGUACUACAUCAUGGAAGUGAAAUUUAACAUUGGGCUAAGCUAAGCUGGAUAAAUUGCUAACCAAGCUAGUUCGACAGCUAGAUAGCAAGGCCUAUAGAAGAAGGUUGGGUCACUGGUCUUGGGUGUGUUGUGUAUGACGCAUGCGCAGUGUGAUUGAAGCUGCGGUUGUGCGUUGUGAUUGGCUCAAUUUCAGGCCAGAUUCCACUGCGCAUGUGUACUACCAAUGAGAUAUGACGUGUUGAUGACGCGUGACCCAGCC